rnacentral:rRNA from 1 species
GGACAAGCCCUGGAAACGGGGUCUAAUACCGGAUAAUACUUCCACUCGCAUGGGUGGGGGUUGAAAGCUCCGGCGGUGAAGGAUGAGCCCGCGGCCUAUCAGCUUGUUGGUGAGGUAGUGGCUCACCAAGGCGACGACGGGUAGCCGGCCUGAGAGGGCGACCGGCCACACUGGGACUGAGACACGGCCCAGACUCCUACGGGAGGCAGCAGUGGGGAAUAUUGCACAAUGGGCGAAAGCCUGAUGCAGCGACGCCGCGUGAGGGAUGACGGCCUUCGGGUUGUAAACCUCUUUCAGCAGGGAAGAAGCGAAAGUGACGGUACCUGCAGAAGAAGCGCCGGCUAACUACGUGCCAGCAGCCGCGGUAAUACGUAGGGCGCAAGCGUUGUCCGGAAUUAUUGGGCGUAAAGAGCUCGUAGGCGGUCUGUCGCGUCGGAUGUGAAAGCCCGGGGCUUAACCCCGGGUCUGCAUUCGAUACGGGCAGACUAGAGUGUGGUAGGGGAGAUCGGAAUUCCUGGUGUAGCGGUGAAAUGCGCAGAUAUCAGGAGGAACACCGGUGGCGAAGGCGGAUCUCUGGGCCAUUACUGACGCUGAGGAGCGAAAGCGUGGGGAGCGAACAGGAUUAGAUACCCUGGUAGUCCACGCCGUAAACGGUGGGAACUAGGUGUUGGCGACAUUCCACGUCGUCGGUGCCGCAGCUAACGCAUUAAGU